GUGGGGAAUAUUGGACAAUGGGGGGAACCCUGAUCCAGCCAUGCCGCGUGUGUGAAGAAGGCCUUUUGGUUGUAAAGCACUUUAAGCGAGGAGGAGGCUGCCGAGAUUAAUACUCUUGGAUAGUGGACGUUACUCGCAGAAUAAGCACCGGCUAACUCUGUGCCAGCAGCCGCGGUAAUACAGAGGGUGCAAGCGUUAAUCGGAUUUACUGGGCGUAAAGCGCGCGUAGGUGGCCAAUUAAGUCAAAUGUGAAAUCCCCGAGCUUAACUUGGGAAUUGCAUUCGAUACUGGUUGGCUAGAGUAUGGGAGAGGAUGGUAGAAUUCCAGGUGUAGCGGUGAAAUGCGUAGAGAUCUGGAGGAAUACCGAUGGCGAAGGCAGCCAUCUGGCCUAAUACUGACACUGAGGUGCGAAAGCAUGGGGAGCAAACAGGAUUAGAAACCCGUGUAGUCC
rnacentral:rRNA from 1 species